UAAUAAUAAAUUUAAUUAAGGUUUUAUUACCUUUUGCAUCAUGAUUAAAUGAUUUAUAUUUAAUUAAUUUUAGGUAUUCGAAAUAAAUGGAUAUUUUUUACUAAAAAUGUUAUAUUGGGUAAUUAUAAUUAAAUAGUAGAAAAGCAGUGAUAAGUUAUUCGUCAUUUAUUAUAGCUAAUUAAUAAUAAAUUAUAUAAUUUUAAUUUAAUUAUUAAAAUUAAUUAUAUUUACUUUUUAUAAAAUAAUAAAAUUAACAGGGAUUAAUGUUAUCCUUAAUCUUUUAACAAAGUAUAAAUUUUUUAUUAAAGUAAUUUAAUAUUAUUAUUAAAAAUAACUAUUUAAUAUUUAUUAUGUUAUAAAUAAGUAAAUAAAUAAUUUAAUUGUUUCUCGUAAGAAUCUGAACUGUUUAUUAAAAACAUUUCUGAGUGUAAUAUUUUCUCAGUAUCCCCUGCUUAUCGUUUAAGUUUUAAAGUAAUUUAAAUAAGUAGCCGCAGUAUUUUGACUGUGCUAAGGUAGCAUAAUUAAUUGCCUUUUAAAUAAAGGAUUGUUUGAAUGGGGGAAUUAGGUUUAUUUUAACAUUUUUAUUAUUUGAAAUUAGUUUGUUGUUGCAGAACACAACAUUAUUUUAUAAGACGGAAAGACCCUAGGAGCUUAGAAAAAUUUUAUUUUAUUUUGGGCAAAUCUAUUGAUUUAAAUAGUUUAUAAUCCUUAUGGGAUAUUUAUAAAGUUACCCUAGGGAUAACUGGGUUAGAUGUGUUUAGAGUUCUUAUCAAUACACAUAAUUGCCACCUCGAUGUUGACUUAAAUUUACUUUAUUGUGUAGAAGCUUUAUAAGUAAGCCUGUUCGGCUUUUAAAAUUUUUCAUGAGUUGAGUUAAGACCGGUGUAAGCCAGGUCGGUUCUUAUCUAUAUUUGGUUUAUUAUAGUACGAAAGGAUUUAAUAAUAAGUAUUUUACUAGAUUUAUAAAUAAA
rnacentral:rRNA from 1 species